rnacentral:rRNA from 1 species
CCUACGGGAGGCAGCAGUGGGGAAUAUUGCACAAUGGGGGAAACCCUGAUGCAGCGACGCCGCGUGAGUGAAGAAGUAUUUCGGUAUGUAAAGCUCUAUCAGCAGGGAAGAAAAUGACGGUACCUGAUUAAGAAGCCCCGGCUAACUACGUGCCAGCAGCCGCGGUAAUACGUAGGGGGCAAGCGUUAUCCGGAUUUACUGGGUGUAAAGGGAGCGUAGACGGCAGCACAAGUCUGGAGUGAAAUGCCGGGGCUUAACCCCGGAACUGCUUUUGAAACUGUGCAGCUAGAGUGCAGGAGAGGUAAGUGGAAGUCCUAGGGUAGCGGUGGAAUGCGUAGAUAUUAGGAGGAACACCAGGGGCGAAGGCGGCUUACUGGACUGUAACUGACGGUGAGGCUCGAAAGCGUGGGGAGCAAACAGGAUUAGAUACCCUGGUAGUC